rnacentral:rRNA from 1 species
GACAGAGGUGCCAAGCGUUAGGCGGAAUCACUGGGCUUAAAGCGUGUGUAGGCGGAUCGUUAAGUACCUUGUGAAAUCCCACGGCUCAACCGUGGAACUGCUGGGUAUACUGGCGAUCUUGAGCCACCUAGGGGCGAGCGGAACAAGCGGUGGAGCGGUGAAAUGCGUAGAUAUCGCUUGGAACGCCAAUGGUGAAAACAGCUCGCUGGGGGUGUGCUGACGCUGAGACAUGAAAGCCAGGGGAGCGAACGGG